AUUUUGCCUGGAGCUUUCUUAAGGGAAUGGUGGAAACUUUAUUACAAAAGAUAAUGAAGUUGUCAGUGACAAGACAAUCAGGGGGUCAACAGAGGUAAAAGGGGAGGAGAGAUGUCUAAAUAGAAGUGAGAAUGAGUAAGUUUUUGUGGGAGUCAGUUAAACUGAGUUAUGUACCUUUUAGAGCCCCUCAAAAUAAGAAAGGAGUAAGUGUGCAAUGUAAAAGAAAAAGGAAAAGAGCCAGAGAGGUGAGACACAGCCAUUUUGGUGUGGGGGGUGUCUAACUACACAAUGAGGUCAUCCUAUCUCCCGGAAGUGACACGUAAUCACCUGCUUUGCACUGGCUCCGCCCCUUCCCUCAGAGGCCCCGCCCCUUCUCCAGCAGCCGGGAGGGUGUUAGGGGGCGUUUCUCCAGGAGGAAAGCUGUGAGCUGCGACGCUGAGGAAGGGGACCCCAAAACGUCUGGCACUGCCCCCUCCAGGGAUCACUUUGGACCGCCUCACUCGGCCCAGCGGGAUUCUGAAACGCCGAGGGGUCAACCUGAUGGGUUUCGGGGUCAACGGAAGAGGGGAAGGGGAGCCCUGGCGGGGAGAACCCCCCGGCCCCCCGCCCCGCAGCUGAGGCACUGAAGGGCGGCCAUCUUGGCCGGGAGGGUAGGGCCGGGGAGCUGCGGGCGCCGUGCGAUUGGGGGGCUCGCCCGGAAGUGACGCCAACCACCCGGAAGCGGAGGGGGUUCCCUGGCCCACUCCCCCCUCGUUCGUUUGCUCCCCCGCUUCCUCCCCGCCCCCCUUCCUCUCCAUUCGUUUCCCC
rnacentral:lncRNA from 1 species